rnacentral:lncRNA from 1 species
ACAUUAUUAUGAGCCAUUCUCCCCUCCGCAUCCUCCUGUGAGUCACACACACACAAUCCAUUCAGUCAGACCAUACAUUUUACUAUGAGCAGUUUUUUUCUGUUGCUCAACUACUUUCAAAGAAUAGCUUGUGUUCACUAGCUUCAAAUUUUCAUUACAUUCACCCAGAAUCUUGGAGCACUUUUGUUGGAAAUUAUGUCUGUGAUAUUUGGAGGAUCCAUCUUAGCCAUUUGCAUGCUGUCAUCUCCCCCUUGUUCCUCAGAAAAUGAAAUAGUGAAGAGGAUCCAACUACAGAAUAACAGAAUCACACAUUUGUCUCUUGUAAAACACUAUCAUUGUGCUACAUUUCCCCUAGUCACUAAGCCAGAGGCCAAUUUGAAGAAGAAGCGAAAGAGGUGAGUGUUUGGUUAGAGAGUGAGGAGGAUGCAGAGAGAAAGAAAACACGGCCCAAACUACUUUGUUUCAAUACCCAUCACAAAUCGUAAAGUACGAUUUUAUGAAUUCGUUUUUUUGUUUGUUGAAAAGUAAAUGUUAAAUUGUUAUUUUGGUGUUAUUUUGGUGUAUUUCUCAAGUUUCUCCACAUGAACUGACUGAUAAUUGGAAUACAUUACUGCUUGUUUCACUUUAAAUGUCAUCACAAGGCAACUGCUGGAACUGAAUGGCCAGAGAGUGAAUGGCAUGCUCUACUUGUGCAGAUCAGUGUAGGCGUGGGGGCGGUGCAGGCCCUGGUGAUGCAGAGGGACUCCAGACUCACUCGGGCACUGGUGCCUGUAGCCAGUCUCCACAUCAUGCUGCUGGUGACCCACUUGGCCAGUCAAGAGGAAGUGAACUUGGCAGUGUGUGCAGUGGCCCAGAUGAAGGCAUCGCUGCAGGACCUGCUGCGGGGGCGAGAGCUCAUCCUACCCUUCCAUAGCAUCGGACACUUCAGGAAGGUGGCGUUUUAUAGAGUUGGCCCAGGGAGAAAACGUUGUCAAACUGGUCCAGAUUGCAGGGUUUAAAGAAGCUGUACUCUGACUACGCUCAACACCACUUUGGAAACGAGAGGGUAUUCAGACUGGCCCUCUGCUCAAUGUUGAAGAAAAAGACCCCAGAUGGAUACUACCACCGAGGUCAGUUUCGGUGAGUAGAACCACGAGGCAGACUUGAAAGAAUUGUGACUGAAAAUCUCAUCUGCUGUCCGCAUUGACAUAAUUUAGAAUUCAAAGAGAUGAACACAAUGUUUUUUGCUUCAGACCUACUGUACCACUUCAAUAUCACAUGAAUUAUGCACAUAACUUGAUUUACUCAAACUUGGGAGGUAAACUAAACCUGAGGGAAAGUCCAAAUAUCAUAAUACAGACUAAUAGUGAGUACAGUGGGGAUUUUCUUACUGGGAUUUAAUAUUUAUCCAAGAAAAAUGUACAGAACC